GUGUUAAAACCUGACCUGUUAAAACCUAAAUUCAAUUUAGUGCAUCGCGUAGAUCAACGGAUGUUCUGUCGAUGACUGUACACUGAGAGUUUAUUUAAGAGAUUUUCGUACAAUGUAUAAUUUUGAAGAUUGAGUAAAAGCAACAAAAUUUGAAAAUGCCACAAGGUAUAUGAAAAGGAACUAUUGUGAUGAAGAUAUGAGAAAUUGCACAUCAUUUUGAGCAUGUCAACUUCUUUAGCGUGUUGUUACAUAAUAUGUAUGGCAUUAUUUUAUGGCUGUGUUCUUCUACUUGUUUCGGGUCUGUUUAUGCUAACUAAAAAGAUAAUAUUUGCUAAUGAAGAGAAAAAUUUCCCUCCCUUUGCUGAUAUAUUGAUUUUGUUCUUCUCUUCUGUAAUUGUAGUCACCGUAUUUAUUGUCUUCAUAAAAAUCUCUGAACGGUGUAACAGCGUUUCCGAUAGGAGAAAUUCUCAAGGAACACUACAUAAUUCAGGCUCAUCGUCGGAGCUCGUUGCUCUUGAAUUUAAUUUGCUUGAAAAUAAUAAACCCCCUCCGUACGAGGACCCACCCUCUUACGCUACAGUAGCUUUCGAUGAGUUAAAACACGAGCAAGAUGAAAAAUGUGACAGACAAAAUGUCGCUGGUGACUGUAGUAACUACAUUUGAUGUAUUGCAUUUAAAUGGAAUGAUAAUUAUUAUUAUAUAUUAUCAAACCUUUUUCUCAAUAUGUAUAAGUUAAUUAAAAUUGGUUCAUAUUCAAAAGAUUUUCAUGUAAACCAACUUCGAGCAUCGACAUCUGAAGAAGUAUUGCGUUCUCCAGCGCAAUAACACGUUUUAUUUCAGGAA